ensembl:lncRNA
ACCACUCUAUAAGACGGUAUACCACUCUAUGUGACUCUAUAAAACUCUAUGUGACUCUAUACCCCUCCACGAGAAUCUAUACCCUCUAUGUGACUCUAUACCCAUCUAUGAGACGCUAUAACACUCUAUGUGACUCUAUACCCCUCUAUGUGACUCUAUACCCCUCCAUGAGACUCUAUACCACUCUAAGAGACACUAUACCUCUCUAUGAGACUCUAUACACCUCUAUGAGACUCUAUACCCCUCUGUGUGACUCUUUACCAAUCUAUGAGACUCUAUGGUACAUUAGGCAUCUCUAUAACAAUCUAUGAGACUCUAUACCACUCCAUGAGACUCUAUUCCACUCUAUGUGAGUCUUUACCACUCUGUGUGACUCUAUACCACUCCAUGAGACUCUAUUCCACUCCAUGUGACUCUAUACCACUCUAUGUGACUCUAUACCACUCCAUGUGAUUCUAUACUCUAUGUGACUCUAUACCACUCCAUGAGACUCUAUACCACUCUAUGUGGCUCUAUACCACUCUAUGUGACUCUAUGGUACAUUAGCCGUCUUUAUACCACUCUAUGAGACUCUAUACCACUCCAUCAGACGCUAUACCACUCUAUGUGACUCUAUACCAUCUAUGUAACUCUAUACCACUCCAUGUGACUCUAUACCACUCUAUGUGACUCUAUACCACUCCAUGUGAGUCUAUACACUCUAUGUGACUCUAUACCACUCCAUGAGACUCUAUACCACUCUAUGUGACUCUAUGGUACAUUAGGCAUCUCUAUGAGACUCUAUACCACUCACUCUCACGUGUUGCUCCUGGGGAAGCAGUGGGCCUGACCCGUUCUCCUCUCUGGACAGAUCUGAAUCAUCCUGGUGCCCUGAUUCUGGAGGUCUCGUUGCUUGGAGGCCACUCACUGUUGUUGAGGAUGGCCCCAUAUGGACAGCCUGGGGACACACUUGGAAGCCGUGAAGAUGGCAUUGGACUGCAAUUGAUGUGGGCAGUUUUGGUGCGGUGUCUUGGGACUGUGGUUGCGGUGACGGUUUGGGGACUGAAAUUGCCACAAUCAAUUGCACAAACAGACUUUGCGCUCGGGUCUCCAUCAGUGGACAGUUCAUCACUUCAGCGGAAUAAACUUCAUGUUGAGUCUGUGGUGAAUUUCCUGAUUACACAGUUGUACUUUUUGUUUUAUCGUGUAGCAAACGAUUUAUUUAUAUAUUUAUUUAUAAGGGAUUUAUUUAUAUAUUUAUAAUCGCACUGGUGUCACCCAGAUGAGGAUGAGUUCCCUUUUGAGUCUGGUUCCUCUCAAGGUUUCUUCCUCAUGUCAUCUCAGGGAGUUUUUCCUGACCACCGCUGCCUCUGGCUGCUCAUUAGGGAUAUUUAUCAAUUUAAAAUUUAGAUCAGAAAUGUAUAUAUUUCUGUAAAGCUGCUUUGUGACACUAUCCAUUGUUAAAAGCGCUGUACAAAUAAAAAUGAAUUGAAUUGAAUAUGUGACUCUAUAUCACUCAGUGUGAGUCUAUGGUACAUUAUGCAUCUCUAUACCACUCUAUGUGACUCCAUGGUCCAUUAGGUGACUCUAUACCACUCUAUGUGAUUCUAGUCCACUCUAUGUGAUUCUAGACCACUCUAGUUGACUCUAUACCAUUCUAUGUGACUCUUUACCACUCCAUGUGACUCUAGACCACAUGUGACUUUAGACUCUGAGACUCUUUGUUACUCUAGGAAACUCUGUAUCACUGUCUGAGACUCUGAGGUACUCUAUGGUACUCUAUGAGACUCUAUACCACUCCAUUAGACUCUAUACCCCUCUACGUGACUCUAUACCAUUCUACGUAACUCUAUACCCCUCUAUGUGACUCUAUACCACUCUAUGUGACUCUAUACCCCUCUAUGUGACUCUAUACCCCUCUAUGUGACUCUAUACCCCUUGAUGUGACUCUAUACCCCUCUAUGUGACUCUAUACCAUUCUACGUAACUCUAUACCAUUCUACGUAACUCUAUACCCCUCUAUGUGACUCUAUAACACUCUAUGUGACUCUAUGGUAAUCACUGUACUCUGUGCGUCUCUAUGGUAGUCUGUGGAAUUUUGGCAUUAUAAAACAAGUGUGAUCAGCACAUUUUGCUGCAGUGACGCAAGACAGCAUGAGAAAAACACCAGUUCAAUCUAGAACGUGUUUUAAAACAAUAACAUCUGGAGGGAACACAUUCACUUAGUGCUGAACUACAACACAGUGUGCAUCAGGCUGCUUUAAACAACAUUUGAAUAAUUUAGUGUGUUUAUUAAACAGUCCUCAAGCACAUCUGCUCGUGCUGGGGAUGAACCGCUUCUGGAUGCGCACUGGACUAGCACCUACAGUGUUGAAUUGACACCUUAAAAUAAUUCCUGUUGAAUUAACAGUGAAUUAAACGAGUUCAGAUCACCGUUAGAAUUGAAUUAAUAUGGUGUUACAGUAAAGCGUCAGUAGAGCGCCGCUGAAGGUAAUUUAACACUGAAACGUUUCACUUAAUUUAACUCUACAGAUUAAUUCAACACUGUAAGAGUAAUUCAAUGCUAUAGGUGUUUAGUCCACACUAUGAAAGCAAUUUAGCAUUGUAGAUAUUACUGUAGCUUAAAUUAAACAGGAGCUAAUUCUACACUAUGGGUUAGCCAAUACUGUAUGCGUUAAAUGCACACUAUACUAGUUAACUGAACAAAAUACAAGUUAAUACAACAAUAUACAAGUUAAUUCAACACUAUUUAAAUGAACUCAACACUACAAGUUAAUUCAACACUCUACACGUUUAUUUAGCACUACACAGUCCAGUGAAACAUUUAGGACUGAAUUAAACGCUGUUUAAUGUCAAAGACUGUACCAGUUAAUUUACCAGUAUAUGACAACAGUAGGAGAGUUAAUGUCACGUUACAGUUCAUGAAACACGUGUAGAAUAGACUCAGGGCUGCAGGUGUGAAGUCCACACUGCACGGUCAGGUAAACGGGUUCCACACGGUUCUCGGGAUGAUUAAUGUCCCUUAAGGGUUCCUCAGAGAGACAAUCUCAGGAACCUUUUCAGGAGCCGGAUUAAACCUUUUCCUUCACUUUCUAUUAGCGUUCAUUCAGAUCAACUCGGAGUCGAUUCGCGGUUCGACUCGUUUUCAUUCACCUGCGCAUCGUGACGCGCGUUCAGUCGUGCAUUCAUUCAUUCAUUCAUUUCCCUACACCCAUCAUCAUCAUCAUCAUCACCAUCACCAUCAUCAUCAUCAUCAUCAUCAUCACUAUCACCAUUUGCACUCACCAUGCGGAGUCUCAUGACAGCCCGCGGCGUGUCGCACGCGCUCAUUCUCAUUCUCUCCGUGUGCGCGCU